CGCAUUUCCUUGCAUUUAUAAAUGAAAGGGAAGCAAAAUUGCGGAAUUGUUAUGCAGAAACCAUUCAUCUCGAGAGUGACGAGUUCGUUACCAUGAUUUUGGUGGAUUCUGUCUUUAUCAUUGAAUUAUUUCUGAGAGACUAUGACCCUAAUUUCAGAACCGAUGAUGAUCACAUAUUUGGGAAAUCGGGGUUAAGUCUCUUGGGCAUAGAAAUGAAUGAUGACUUGUACUUGCUGGAAAAUCAGCUUCCCUUAUUCAUUCUCAAUGAGUUGUUUGAUCUAGCCAAAACAGCAACUUACGGUGACAUUUACGAUGGAAUUUCCUUCAGGACUAUUACCCAUGCAUGGUUCAGAACUGAUCCCAUUCUUCCAAUAGAUCAUAUGAAAAUAGAAACUCACUUUUCAAAAGCUCAACAUUUUCUUGAUCUGCUCGUACUCUGUCUUCAGCCAUCCCCGCAGCCACGUGAAGACGGUGAAGUCGCUAAGCAAAAUAUUCCAGGGAUAAAGGAACUUCAUGAAGCUGGCGUCAGGUUCGAAUCAAGGUCAAGAGAAAAUCUACUUGACAUCACAUUCAAUAAUGGGAUUUUGGGAAUUCCAUUUUUCAAAGAAUAUUAUUUGACAGAGCGUUUAUACAGAAAUCUUAUAACUUUCGAGAUUAUGCAUGGCUAUCCCCGGUAUUUUAACGACUAUGUUGUGAUCAUGAGUUACCUUCUCCGCACUCCAAAAGAUGCCGAUUUGCUGAUUCAAAGUGGAAUUAUUGGGGGUACUAGUAGUGAAAGAUUGUCGACGACUCUCCAGAGCGUUAGUAAAAAUUCUCUGGUGGGUCAUUCUUUCAGUUAUGGUCAUGUCGCUAAAGAUCUGCAGGCCUAUUGCAAAUCGCCAUGGCACAGUUGGAAGGCAAACUUGAAGCAAAAUUAUUUCAACACUCCAUGGGCAUCUAUCUCCGUAAUUGCAGCUCUUAUUCUCAUUCUACUGACCGUCACACAAACCAUUUGUUCUAUCAUUGCAUUGUAGAUUAAUUUCUAUUAUUUUCAAUAUUUUUUCACUUGUAUUGCUGGUUUUCCUGCUGUCUAUCUUAUUAGUCAUAAAAUAAGCGAGAUUGAUUCAUCAGUCGUAGACAUUCUAAAAAAAACUGAACCCAAGCCGAAUUUGUUCAAAAUCAACCCCAACACAUUCGGUCUGGGAUGGAUUCAGUUUGGAUAGUUCGUAUUGAGUUUUUAUUGCACAACCCAAGUUUCUGCUAGGAUUUACAUAUAUCAUAUGCCCACUGACUCUGUGUACCUGAUUCUUUUAGUUAAUAAAGUUCCCAUGUCCUACACCUGCAAUGAGGUUCCAGGUUCCCUUGUACCAUAUAGAAAUUGACUAUUGAGAGGCAAUACAGAGAAAAUAAUUUUUCCUCUCUCUACACGUCACUCGCUUUUAAAUUGUGUGACUAGACUAAAAUGAAUAUAAUAAUUUGGCUGAUUUUGGCCUAUUCGAUGAUCUAGUUGCUAACGUGUUGCUUGGCGAAUGAAUGGAAGGGGAAACAAGAUUAUUCAAUUUUCCAAGAAAGCAACUUGUUUCAUUUGUAGUAUUAAAAAAGACUUCGGAGAAGUCAAACUCAUUAAAAAGUAAAAAAGAAUACAUACAAGUCAUGAUCAAUAUAAUAAUUUCUUUUGUAAGUAGAUGGAUUUAAUUCGGUCAUAAACUAUUCCUAACACUUGGUAACAUUUGAUAGACUGAAAAAUAGAAAAUAAAAAGGCACGCAUAUGUAGUAAAAUGACAAAUGUUAUAGUCUCUUGUAAAACUUAGAGAAAAUUAACUUAAGAAAUGAUAUAAACCUGCCCAACUUUGACCGGGUUAAGACAAACAAUCGACGAAAGGUCGAAAUAAUUCGCUUGACGAAGACCUCUUCAUCAUACCAACCCCGAGCUACAAGCUAUAGAAGUGACAGGUGCAGCUGCCCAACUUUGACCGAAGUUUCCACGAAAAGGAGUGACAGGUGCAGCUGAAGGCCCAACUUUGACCGGGUUAAGACAAACAAUCGACGAAAGGUCGAAAUAAUUCGCUUGACGAAGACCUCUUCAUCACGGGAUGAGUGUUUUGUGCAAUAAAUCUGUACGAUACUUAGAUAAUUUUUGUCGAAUGUUAUUAAGUAAGCCUUGAGCUUCUCGACUAGCUAAGCCUAGAGGUUUUUGAAGAGCUAGAAAGAAGAGAGCAAUGGAGCCGAAUAAAGAAAAAUUGUAUUACUCACAAGAGAGAUUACAAGAGAGCUUAUAAGGAUGCUUGAAUUGCUUGCUCUAAAGCUUGUUGCUCAAAUGCUAAAUGGCAUGCCCUAUUUAUAGGGGAGGCUUGCCAAGCUCUAGAGAUUCUAGAGAAUUCUACCAACUAUCUAAAUAAUUACAUGUGCUGGAAAUGUGUGGAGUAUUCUAGAUAUUUAAAAGCUCAAAUGUGCUAGAGUUGCCUAGAAAUUUCCACAAUCGGGCCAAGCUAGCACUUUUGGCCUUAUCUUGGGCUCUCUAGCCCGAAAUUAUGGGCAAUUGUGCUAGCAACUUGGGGUGGUCCGCAACAUCCUCCCCCACCUAAGCUCGCGGCGUCCUCGUCGCGUUCUCGUCCUUGAAAUUCUGGAUGUGCUCGGUGAAUUGCCACAAAUCAUCUUCGCGUUCCCAAGUGGCUUCGCUCUCGGGGAGGUUUUUCCAUUUCACCAAGUACUUGUCGUAUGGUGGCAUGCCUCUCCUCUGAACCACGCGGUCCGUAAUGAUGUAGUCCACAUCUUUGUCAAACGCGGUGACAAUGGCGGUUGGCGUACUCCUCGAUUCUCCACGACUUGGGUCUUCCACAUCUCUAUGAUAUGACUUGAGAAGGCUUACAUGGAAAACUUGAUGGAUCUUGAGUCUUGGCGGAAGUUAGAGUUGAUACGAGAUGUUGCCCACACGUUGUACAACUCGGAAGGGUCCCUCGUAGCGUCUCACUAACCCCUUGUGAACUUUCCGCAAAGUCUUGAAUUGUUGGGGUAGGAGCUUGAUCAUGACUUGAUCACCUUCCUUGUACUCAACAUGCUGUCUCCUUGUAUCUGCCUACUUUUUCAUCUUCCUCGCGGCUUUGUCAAGGUAGGCUCGCGUGAUGUCCGCUUCCUCGUGCCAUUCGCGGGCGAGCUUGUGUGCAGCGAGGCUUUUUCCUUCGUAAGUUGAGGCUAUGGCGUUGGGAGUCAUGGGCUGGAAUCCCAUGACGAUUUCGAAGGGACUCUUGCUCGUAGCCUCACUUCGCUGCAAGUUAUAAGAAAAUUGGGUGAUGUCGAGUAGCUUCGCUCAAUCCCGUUGAUGAGCGCUCACAUAAUGCCUCAAAUACAUCUCGAGGAGGCCAUUGAUGCGCUCGGUCUGCCCAUCCGUUUAUGGGUGGAAGCUUGUUGAGAACUUGAGAUCGAUUCUCAACAUCUUGAAGAGCUCCGUCCAAAAACGCCCAGUGAACCAUGGGUCUCGGUCGCUCACAAUACUCUUCGGAACUCCCCAAAGCUUCACGAUGUGCUUGACGAAGAUACGGGCUGCCUCGUCAACUUUGUAAUCGACUGGUGUGGCAAUAAAAGUUGCGUACUUGCUGUAACGGUCGACAACAACCAUGAUGCUGCUCCACCCUUCGGACUUAGGCAGUGACGUGAUGAAAUCCAUGGAGACACUUUCCCAUGAUCUUGUUAAGAGUGGUAGCGGCUCCAAUAAUCCCGCUGGGAGUUGGUGAUCUACCUUAUCUUGUUGGCACACAAGACAAGUUUGCACAUAUGCCUCGAUGUCAUCCCUCAUGUGUGGCAAAAAAUAAAAGGCUUGAACUAGAGUGGUGGUGUGCUCAAUUUCUGGGUGACCCACCCACUUGGAGUCGUAGCACUCUUUGAUGACUUCUUUCCACAAAUUUCCCAAUCUUGGCACGAACAACCAAUCUCCCUUGGUGAGGAGGAUGCCUUCCUCUUGCCAAAAUCGCCUUGUCUUGCCUUCGAGCACUUUCUCCAGCAAGUCCUUUGCUAGCAGAUCUUGUUGAAGACCUUCCUUGAUGCCUGAGACAAGGUCGGACUUUGGUUGGCUCAUGCUAAGUGUUGCCAAUUCGGCCUUGCGGCUUAGAGCGUUCGCAAUGACAUUGGCUUUUCCCAGUUUAUACUCGAGCCGAUAAUCGAAUUCCGCAAGGAAUUCUUGCCACCUUGCUUGCUUCGGACUCAACUUCUUUUGUGUUUGAAAGUAUCUUGUCGCUACGUUGUUAUGCAGAAACCAUUCAUCUUGAAGUGACGAGUUCGUUACCAUGAUUUUGGUGGAUUCUGUUUUUAUCAUUGAAUUAUUUCUGAGAGAUUAUUACCCUAAUUUCAAAACCGAUGAUGAUCACAUAUUUGGGAAAUCAUAGUUAAGUCUCUUAGGCAUAGAAAUGAACGAUGACUUGUACUUGCUGGAAAAUCAGCUUCCCUUAUUCAUUCUCAAUGAGUUGUUUGAUCUAGCCAAAACCGCAACUUAUCGCGACAUUUACGAGGAAAUUUCCUUCAAGACUAUUACCCAUGCAUGGUUCAGUAGUGAUCUCAUUCUUUCAAUAGAUGAUAUGAAAAUCGAAUCUCACUUUUCAAAAGCUCAACAUUUUCUUGAUCUGCUCGUACUAUGUCUUCAGCCAUCCCCUCAGCCACGUGAAGACGGUGAAUUCGCAGAUUAAAAUAUUCCGAGGAUAAAGGAACUUCAUGAAGCUCGCGUCAGGUUCGAAUCAAGGUCAAGAAAAAAUCUACUUGACAUCACAUUCAACAAUGAGAUUCUGGGAAUUCCAUUUUUCAAAGAAUAUUAUUUGACAGAGAGUUUAUACAGUCUUAUAACUUUCGAGAUUAUGCCUGGCUAUCCCCGAUAUUUUAACGACUAUAUUGUGAUCAUGAGUUACCUUCUCCGCACUCCAAAAGAUGCCGAUUUGCUGAUUCAAAAUGGAAUUAUUGGGCGUGCUAGUAUUGAAAGAUUGUCGACGACUCUUCAGGGCCUUAGAAAAUAUUCUCUGGUGGGUCGUUCUUUCAGGUCAUGUCGCUAAAGAUCUGCAGGCCUACUGCAAAUCGCCAUGGCACAGUUGGAAGGCAAACUUGAAGCAAAAUUAUUUCAACACUCCAUGGGCAUCUAUCUCUGUAAUUGCAGCUGUUAUUCUCAUUCUACUCACCAUCACACAAACAGUUUGUUCUGUCAUUUUAUUGUAGAUAAAUUUCUAUUAUUUUCGAUAAUUUUUCACUUGUAUGGCUCGUUUUUCUGCUUUGUGUAUCUUAUUCAUCAAAGAAUAAGAGAGAUCGAUUCGUCAUGUAGUUGUACAAGAUUGGUUUGGUACGACUUUCAUUUAUAACAACUUAAUGAUAGGAAAAAGAACUGAAAUUGUAAUGAUCAAUUGAAUUCUAAUUUUUGAGUAUUCAAAAAAAGAUCAAGAGCUAUACCAUGUUUGGGGGAUAUACUUCGACAAGACCAACCAUGAUGAGCAGAUGUCUGGUAGCAGGAUUCCACGAACAGGAGUAUUCUGCAAAAGUCUGGUAGCAGGUGACCAUGAACAGGAAUGUUCAGCUGAAGUCUGGUAGCAGGUGACCACGAACAAGAAUGUUCUGCUCGUUCACGAAUGCACCCUCCACGGGGCCAUAGCGGGAGCCGGCCUCCUGCUAGGAGCAUAAGGCCAUUCCUACUAGAGGUUGAGGGGGGGAGACCCGGUCAAUGACGGUUAGCAAGACGUGCAUUCCUGCCCGAGAAUCAAGGCACGAAGUCCACUCAGCCACAACUAUGAUAAUGACGCACCCACUUCCGAGAGUUGAGAGAGGUGAUGGACGUGGAUUGCAGGAAGGGUCGGAUUCAAAGGAAGCUAUAAAAAGGUAACCAACGAAGGUAAACAUGUUAGACUUUUUGAGAUUAGAACUGAGAAAAAAGAGCUUUCUAUUGAGAGAUCAUAAAAGAGCCAUAAUAUUAGUGGUCGUGUUUCCCAGAAAGGCAAAACCUACGUUUCUGACUUGAGCGUCGGAGGGUUUACGCCGGGAAAAUACCCGGCGUGCUCUGACCUGUCUCUGUGUACGCAGGAGUCUGCGGAGAGGAAGUCUUACGAGGAGAGAUCCUGGUCGUGGACGAUUUAGUUGAGGAGAGAUCCUGAUCGUGGACGAGAAGAAAACUAGAAUCUCGCAUCAACAUACCAUUUAAAAUCCAAAUUUCAACUUCGAAAAUUACUCCCAAGCAGCGACCUGGUGAUUUUUUUGUAAGGUAGCUAGCUGGCUAUUAAAGGAGUUUACUUUAUAUGAAAGUUUGUGUUUUAUCUUUCAUAGUCUCAAUCGACCAACUCCAUAUAGCCCAACAGAUGCAGUUAUAGAGAUUCUAAACACAACUCAACCCAACCCGAAUUUGCUCUAAACUAGCCCAACAAAUUCAGUUUGGGCUGGACUCAGUUUGGAUCGCUAGUAUAGAGUUUUUAUUCCACACACCAAGUUUCUCCUAGGAUUUACAUCUAAAAAGGUUCCCUUGUUCCACACUUGCAAUGAGGUUCGUAUAUAUAAUGGAAAAUGAUCAUCUUAUAUAUCUGAAUUUUGAAAGAUUUUUUUGAUAUAUAUUUACUUUUAUUUAUUAAUGACGUUAUUAUAUCCAACAUUCGUCAACUUGGCGUUAAAGAAAUGAUCCACAUCAAUUCCUUGGAUCAAUCUUUCACAAACGACAAUAGUUUAUUUUUUGGGAUUAAUGACAGUAUAUGCUGAUGGAGCAAACACAAAGCAGUUGAUGGUUUGGAUCAAAUUGACUGUUAAAGAAACAUAAACAAGAGCAACAUGCAGAUAGUAGAUAGUACUAAAGGGUAAAUCUUCUUUGAGGUAUAUGUUUUAUGCUUUUAUAUUUUUCAUGGCAAUCAAAAGCGAAACGAACCUGCUUUAAUUUUUAUAUACUUAAGAUGAGGUUAAGGAAUAUUCAAUGCUUUAUUCUUAAAACUCUUCGACGGAAUUUAUCGUGUUAAUUUAAUUAUUUGUAGCGGAGGGGUUGAUGUAGCUAAGUGGAUCAAGGUAGUAGACUGUGAAUCCGCAAGUUCAAUUCCCGUUGUUCGCUCAUAGUUAUUAACUGCAUUUUGAUUUUUGAGAGCCUAUCAGGAUCAGAUACCACUCGUACUAGCCCACCUAUCCAAUAUGACCAUACCACCCAUACUAACCCACCUAUUGAACAUGUGACAUUGAAUUGCUCUAGCAAAAGCGUGUGUCCCUCCGUAGUCCUAAGGGUGGUCGCUGUCCCUACAUAAGACCAAUAAAUGGGAAUCAAGUAAAGCAGCCUGACCUUCAUAGUCCUGAGGGUGGUCGCUUCCCCCCAUAAGACCAAUAGAUGGGAAUCAAGUAAAGCAGCCGCUUGAUUGAAUCCGUAGAGCAAUUCAGAAAAAAAGGAGGAAAGUUAUAAUUAUGUCCUGAGGCAAGGAAUUAAUUAUUUUUUUAAUCAAUUCUGGACGACUAUAAAAAUGAGUUGAUAUUUGUGCUGAAGUAUAAUUUUUGAGGCUGCAGGAAAAUCUUUGAACGGUAUGUAUGCAAUUGCGAAUUUCACCUUUAUUUCAUUUCUGUUCAGCGUUCUAGGAUAUUUGUGGAUGCUAAUUAGUUAACUAGUAAAACUUCUUGAUGGUGGUACUAAAAGAUUGUAAUCAAGCUCCGCUCACAUGAGUGAGUAAAUAGUAGAUUGAUUUGCCAAUUCAUCUUUAAUGAUCCUGGAAAUGUAUUUUAUUAAUUAAUUAAAUUCCUUUAAAAGUAUCUUUCUUUAUUUAUUCAUCUAUAAUAAUCUUGUAAAGUCCAAAUCAAUUUUUCAAUCCUUACCUCUCUCAAACAAGAUUCAAACUUAGGUAGUCAAUGAAAUAAAAUUACCUGAAAAUUAAUCGACCAAGCUCCUACAAGUAUUUUGGAAAUGUAACUAGAUUAUUCUAUUAUUAGCUAGAGAUAGUUUCAGUUAUUGUUCCUAAUGCUAUUUUGUGAAUUUUCCAGUUUCAUAUUUUUUGUAUUUUGGAAAUGUAACUUGAUUAUUCUAUCGUUACGUAGAGAGAGUUUCAGUUAUUGUUCCUAAUGCUGUUUUGUGAAUUUUCCAGUUUCAUAUUUUUUGUUACUACUGCAGCGAGCGAAGGAGUGUAGAUGGCAAGGACAAUGCAGCGAUUGAUAUGGAGAAGUUAGCAGAUUCUUUGAGUGGUAAGUUCAAUACUUACAUUAUCGAGAGUGCGAAUUGAGUGACUUGACUCAGAUGAAUUUAAGUUGGGCUUGUUUUAUUAUUAUUAAUAAUAACGACUGUACAUUUCUGAGACUCGAACUCUGAACCAACUGAGUUAUCAAGAAACUGCGCCUUACCCAUAGGACAAGACCUUAGCCACUAUCGGAUAGAUGUUGUGUUGCUUGCUUUAAUAAAUGAAAGGGGAAAAACAAUUUAUUAGGCUUUACAAGAGAGCAUCUAUUGUUUCGUUUGUAGUGAUGACUCUUUUUUUUUUUUUUUUUACUUAAUAAAUAUGUUGAGAAAAGAAUUUACACAAGCCAUGAUCAGGACUUAACUACGUGGCUAGAAGAUUUUUGGAUUUCUUCCAUCACAGCUUCGUGGUAAUGUGAGUUUUCUCAUUCUUCAAUCUUCGUUUUUAUUCUUUGUGAUCAAUGUUUUCUAAUAAAUUACUGUUGACAGAUUUUGUUUAGUUCUUGAAGAUGGCUAACAGCGAGCAUGCAUCAGUUGAUGUGAAAAAAAUAGCAGCUUCAUUGAAAGAAAACUUGCAGACCAUGCAUCCCUUAUCCGAAGAGUGUUGCAUAUAUAGAGUUCCUCAGAAAACACGGUGUCUAAAUGAAAGUGACUUUACUCCACAAGUGAUUUCCAUUGGCCCGCUUCAUCAUGGUAAAGAAGAGUUAAAAGAAAUAGAAGAGCAUAAAAGAAGAUACCUGAAACAUUUUCUUCAAGGAACUAAGGUAAGUAUCGAGGAGCUUCUUACGCUUAUAAAGGAUAAGGAAGCUAAACUGCGCAGCUAUUAUUCAGAAAGCAUUGAACUUACAAAUGACGCAUUUGUUACAAUGAUUUUAGUUGAUUGCAUCUUCAUGAUUGAGCACCUCCUCAGAUUUUCUAAUCGUGAGUUGGUAACUAAUGAUGAUCGUGUAUUUGGAAAACCCUAUAUAGAUAUUGACAGGGACCUGUGUUUGCUAGAAAAUCAGCUUCCAUUUUUCAUUCUAAACGACUUGUUCAUUCUAGCGAAAACCACAUCACAUGGUGAAGUGCUCGACGGACUUUCCUUGAUUGAAUUGAUUAUAAAUCUGAUCAGUGAUUUGGCUGCUGAUGAUCUCUUGAUAGAGAAGAAUAUUUUACAGCAACAUUUUUCGGAAGCUGAACAUAUUCUUGAUUUGCUUAGACUCUGUCUUGAGCCGUCAGUUGAGUUGAAUGAUGAUGAUCAAGAAGAGUUGAAUGAUGAUGAUCAAGAAGAUACAAUCAGAACUCAAAACAUUCCGAGUGUAACGGAACUUCACCAAGCCGGAGUCAAGUUUCAGUUGGGGACCAAGCAUCUGCUCGAAAUCACAUUCAACAAAGGAAUUCUGGAAAUUCCAUUACUGACAAUAUAUGACACCACCGAAGGUUUGUUCCGAAAUCUACAUGCUUUUGAGACAGUGCAUUGUGACAGCUGCUAUAUAAAUGACUAUAUUAUUAUGAUGAAGAACCUCGUUGUCACUGCAAACGAUGCGGAAUUACUUGUUCAAAACGGAGUUAUUGAUAAUUGGACAGGUGAUAGUCAAGCAGUGUCAAAUUUUUUACGCAAUCUUGACAGACAGGCAACGUUGUAUGCUAAUAAUUUUCGGUAUUCGGAUCUUGUUCAAGAUCUAAAGGCCUAUUGCAGAUACCCUUUGCACAAGUGGAAGGCAAACUUGAAGCAAAAUUAUUUCAAUACUCCAUGGGCAUCUAUCUCUGUCAUUGCAGCUGUUGUUCUCCUUCUACUCACCAUCAUACAAACAGUUUGUUCUAUCAUUGCAUUGUAGGAUAUAUCUACUCUUAUUCAAAAUUCCGUGUUUUAUGCCGGUGUUUAUGUUUUGUUGAGCUCAAUUAGACCAUGUAAAUUAAUAAUAAUAAAAAGUGUUUGAUUUUGUGAUUUUGUAAUUUUGUAAUUUUGAUAAUUAUUUGGUUAUCAAUUUGUGAUUAAUUGUUUUUUUUUAAUUUUAUUUUUAUUGGUCCACUUGUUUAAUUACACUGCAGUUAUGCAAACAUAAAAGGGAAAAAGCCCCUUAAAUGUAUACAUAGACCCUCAAGAUUUCAACAAUUAUCACACAAACCAUUUUAUAUUAUGAUAAACUGACGAUGACUUUUAGUUGAAAUUCCAAUCAUUCUAGUUUUAUUUAUUGUUUUUUUACAUUGUUUUAUAGUAUUUUUUAGUGUUACAAAGUUGUACACAUUUUAAUUCCAUAAAUAAUGGCCAUGUUUUUCAAGUGGCCAAGCCCAAGCCCAAGCCCGACCCAAGCACUUCUCUUGUCGUGCUGGGUUGGGCUUGGGCCUAAAAUCCUGAAUUUGUGUUAUUUUUUAGUUUUUUAUUGUAUUUUAUAAAUUUUUAAUAUAUAAAAUUUUGUUUUAUUAGACUAGAAUUUAAAAAUUGCCCUAAAAGGAUUUAAAAUUUAAAAAUGUGUUAUGCCUAGGGCUAAAUAAAUAUUAAAAGGUGUAUUUUAAUUAAAAUAAAUAUUUUUUGAGGCAUUUAUUAGGCUUUCAGUCCAAGCUCGGGCUUUUUAGGUGAAGUCGAGCUUGGCAUGAGUGGUUAGAAAAUAUAGUCGGGUUAGGCCAAGUUUGGACCGAAAACACCCAAGCUAAACACGAGCAGGCUUUUUUGUCAUCCUUAGUUUUUUUUAGCCUUGAAGAGCCUUCUGUAAUAUAUUUUAUAAAAAAAAAAAACUAUAUGGGCACUCGUAUGUUAUGAAACCAUUUUUUAGAUGGGUCAUUAUUGGUUUAUGUGUCAAGAAAGGGUAAAAAAUAAUAGUGACAUCUAAACCCCUCAAUUUAUCUUACCAACCCUCAUUUAUCAAUUAACCCCAUCCAAAACUUGCGAAAAGGAAAAAAGAAAACAAAUUCUCUAUCAAUUUGCCCCAUAUAAUUGCUAAUUUAUCCUUUUAUCAUUUUUCUACACUUCACUAGCUUAAAACUCCAAAAAUCUGCUCAAUAACUCUGAUCUCAUCCAAGCAUAGUUUAGUAUUUGUUUAAGCACUUGGAGUUCCUCAUCAACAAAGAAUGGGUUCAGAGUUGAUCAGUUUGGUGUUCCUCAUAUUGACGAAUGGUGGGAGUCGUGUCAAUGAUAAGGCCUGUUGAUAGUUGUUCGUCAGCUCAGUCCAAGAUUUAUCUAUUCAGUUCCUUCGCAACCAAAGGGCCACUUCUUAUUAUAGUUGCAACACUACUGGACCUACUGGCUGAGCCGUUAGCCCUUACAAACGUGACUAUACCAGUGCCAUCAAUUGCUGAAAAUCUAUUGAUCAAUGCUAAACUUAAGGGGUUCAAAAUUUACAGAAAGCUUAGGAGAGAUUGAGAACACACACAUAUAUCCAUUUUAAUAAUUUAUCUAAGGAAAAUAUGGAAAUUAACAUAAAAUUUGGAGCUGUGGAGAGAUUAAAUAUCACUAGUCUAAGCGAAAAUUACUGGACACUCUAAUAUAAUUUAUUUUAAAAAUCUUCGGUGCUGAUAGUUCCACCUUUCACACUGUGUAAAUUCAUUCUUAACAAUUAAUUAACUAAAUCAUCUUUGAUUUUUUUUUUUUACAAUUUAAAUCUCCUCGCGGUUUUUGAGACUUUGACUACUAAGAUUCUUUAAUAUAAUUUAAUUUUCACUAUUUUUUAAUUUUUAAUGUAAAUCAACGUAACAUCCAGUAGUUUAGGUCCGCGUGUACUUCCACUGAAGUUUCCAUGAAAAGGGGUGACGGGUGCAGCUGAAGCCCCAACUUGACCGGGUUCAGAUAAACAAUCGACGAAAGGUCGAAAUAAUUCGCUUGACAAAGACCUCAAUAAUUCAAUGCAAGUGGCGGUCCCUUUGACUUUCUUCUUUUAUAUAAUUCAUAUAUAUCCCUUCUCUCUUGGAAUCAUACCUCUAAUUUUCCAGAGAAAAUCACAUCUUCUUCCUAGCCAAACACCCACAUCGAAAAAUGAGAUACAGUCGACAGUGGUAAACUACAGACACAGCACUGUCAGUUUUCAUUUCAUCCUGAUUUCUUGUACAUGUAAGUUUCUGAUUAGUACUCGAUCUUUUAUAUCUUUAAGCAAAUAAGCAAGUUUCUGGAAGUUGUUCUCAUUAACUUUGUUGCUAAACACCUACACAGCAACAAGCAAUAGAAAUCGGAAAACAUGGAGCAUGCAUUGAUUGAUAUGGAGAACUUAGCAGCUUCUUUGAGUGAGAAGAUGAAGACCUUGCAUUAUCACUCAUCUGAAGAGUGUUGCAUCUACAGAGUCCCUCAGCUCAGACGGUGUUUACAUCCAAGUCAUUACACUCCGCCAAUGCUUUCAAUUGGCCCUCUUCAUCAUACCAACCCCGAGCUACAAGCCAUGGAAGAGCAUAAGCUAAGAUACCUGCAUCACUUUCUCCGGCGAACUAAGGUAAGCACGGCGCAUUUCCUUGCAUUUAUAAAGGAAAAGGAAGCAAAAUUGCGGAACUGUUAUGCAGAAACCAUUCAUCUUGAGAGUGCCGAGUUCGUUGCCAUGAUUUUGGUGGAUUCUGUCUUUAUCAUUGAAUUAUUUCUGAGAGAUUAUGACCCUAAUUUCAGAACCGAUGAUGAUCGCAUAUUUGGGAAAUCAGGCUUAAGUCUCGUGGGCAUAGAAAUGAAUGAUGACUUGUACUUGCUGGAAAAUCAGCUUCCCUUAUUCAUUCUCAAUGAGUUGUUUGAUCUAGCCAAAACAGCAACUUGCGGUGACAUUUACGAGGAUAUUUCCUUCAAGACUAUUACCCAUGCAUGGUUCAGUAGUGAUCCCAUUCUUCCAAUAGAUGAUAUGAAAAUCGAAACUCACUUUUCAAAAGCUCAACAUCUUCUUGAUCUGCUCGUACUCUGUCUUCAGCCAUCCCUUCAGCCACGUGAAGACGGUGAAUUCGCUGAUCAAAAUAUUCCGGGGAUAAAGGAACUUCAUGAAGCUGGCGUCAGGUUUGAAUCAAGGUCAAGAAAAAAUCUACUUGACAUCACAUUCAAUAAUGGGAUUCUGGGAAUUCCAUAUUUCAAAGAAUAUUAUUUGACAGAGCGUUUGUACAGAAAUCUUAUAACUUUCGAGAUUAUGCACGGCUAUCCCCGGUACUUUAACGACUAUGUUGUGAUCAUGAGUUACCUUCUCCGCACUCCAAAAGAUGCCGAUUUACUCAUCCAAAAUGGAAUUAUUGGGCGUACUAGUAGUGAAAGAUUGUCAACGACUCUCCAGAGCCUUAGAAAAAAUUCUCUGGUGGGUCGUUCUUUUAGUUAUGGUCGUGUCGCUAAAGAUCUGCAAGCCUAUUGCAAAUCGCCAUGGCACAGUUGGAAGGCAAACUUGAAGCAAAAUUAUUUCAACACUCCAUGGGCAUCUAUCUCCGUAAUUGCAGCUGUUAUUCUCAUUCUACUGACCGUCACACGAACCAUUUGUUCUAUCAUUGCAUUGUAGAUUAAUUUCUAUUAUUUUCAAUAUUUUUUCACUUGUAUUGCUGGUUUUCCUGCUGUCUAUCUUAUUAGUCAUAAAAUAAGCGCGAUUGAUUCAUCAGUCGUAGACAUUCUUGAUUCAUCAGUCGUAGACAUUCUAAACAAAACUCAACCCAAGCCGAAUUUGUUCAAAAUCAACCCCAACACAUUCGGUCUGGGAUGGAUUCAGUUUGGAUAGUUCGUAUUGAGUUUUUAUUGCAC
rnacentral:lncRNA from 1 species